rnacentral:rRNA from 1 species
AGAGUUUGAUCCUGGCUCAGAACGAACGCUGGCGGCAGGCCUCAAACAUGCAAGUCUAGGGGGUAGCAAUACCACCGGCGGACGGGUGCGUAACGCGUGGGAAUGUACCCUAUUGGUUCGGAACAACUGAGGGAAACUUCAGCUAAUACCGAAUGAGCCCGUAAGGGGAAAGAUUUAUCGCCAAUGGAUCAGCCCGCGUUCGAUUAGCUAGUUGGUGAGGUAAUGGCUCACCAAGGCGACGAUCGAUAGCUGUUCUGAGAGGAAGAUCAGCCACACUGGGACUGAGACACGGCCCAGACUCCUACGGGAGGCAGCAGUUGGGAAUCUUGGACAAUGGGGGAAACCCUGAUCCAGCCAUGCCGCGUGAGUGAUGAAGGCCUUCGGGUUGUAAAACUCUUUCGCGCACGACGAUAAUGACGGUAGUGCGAGAAGAAACUCCGGCUAACUUCGUGCCAGCAGCCGCGGUAAUACGAAGGGGGCUAGCGUUGUUCGGAAUUACUGGGCGUAAAGCGCGCGCAGGCGGUUCUCCAAGUCAGUGGUGAAAGCCCGGAGCUCAACUCCGGAACUGCCAUUGAAACUGUUGAACUUGAGGACGAGAGAGGUGAGUGGAAUUCCCAGUGUAGAGGUGAAAUUCGUAGAUAUUGGGAAGAACACCGGUGGCGAAGGCGGCUCACUGGCUCGUUUCUGACGCUCAGGCGCGACAGCGUGGGGAUCAAACAGGAUUAGAUACCCUAGUAGUCC